rnacentral:ncRNA from 1 species
AAUUGAAAAAGGUAAACCAUUCGUAAGGAUGGGGCGCAAAGCUUCCGGCCCAGACGGUACGUCGGGGUAGCGGGGUUGCCAAG